GACGGAGGGUGCUAGCGUUGUUCGGAAUUACUGGGCGUAAAGGGCGCGUAGGCGGCUGCUCAAGUCGGGUGUGAAAGCCCGGGGCUCAACCCCGGAACGGCACCCGAGACUGGGCGGCUCGAGACCGGGAGAGGUGGGUGGAAUACCCAGUGUAGAGGUGAAAUUCGUAGAUAUUGGGUGGAACACCGGUGGCGGAAAGCGGCUCACUGGCCCGGUACUGACGCUGAGGUGACGAAGGCGUGGGGAGCAAACAGG
rnacentral:rRNA from 1 species